CAGGCUUAACACAUGCAAGUCGAGGGGCAGCAUGGUCUUAGCUUGCUAAGGCCGAUGGCGACCGGCGCACGGGUGAGUAACACGUAUCCAACCUGCCGUCUACUCUUGGACAGCCUUCUGAAAGGAAGAUUAAUACAAGAUGGCAUCAUGAGUCCGCAUGUUCACAUGAUUAAAGGUAUUCCGGUAGACGAUGGGGAUGCGUUCCAUUAGAUAGUAGGCGGGGUAACGGCCCACCUAGUCUUCGAUGGAUAGGGGUUCUGAGAGGAAGGUCCCCCACAUUGGAACUGAGACACGGUCCAAACUCCUACGGGAGGCAGCAGUGAGGAAUAUUGGUCAAUGGGCGAGAGCCUGAACCAGCCAAGUAGCGUGAAGGAUGACUGCCCUAUGGGUUGUAAACUUCUUUUAUAAAGGAAUAAAGUCGGGUAUGGAUACCCGUUUGCAUGUACUUUAUGAAUAAGGAUCGGCUAACUCCGUGCCAGCAGCCGCGGUAAUACGGAGGAUCCGAGCGUUAUCCGGAUUUAUUGGGUUUAAAGGGAGCGUAGAUGGAUGUUUAAGUCAGUUGUGAAAGUUUGCGGCUCAACCGUAAAAUUGCAGUUGAUACUGGAUAUCUUGAGUGCAGUUGAGGCAGGCGGAAUUCGUGGUGUAGCGGUGAAAUGCUUAGAUAUCACGAAGAACUCCGAUUGCGAAGGCAGCCUGCUAAGCUGCAACUGACAUUGAGGCUCGAAAGUGUGGGUAUCAAACAGGAUUAGAUACCCUGGUAGUCCACACGGUAAACGAUGAAUACUCGCUGUUUGCGAUAUACGGCAAGCGGCCAAGCGAAAGCGUUAAGUAUUCCACCUGGGGAGUACGCCGGCAACGGUGAAACUCAAAGGAAUUGACGGGGGCCCGCACAAGCGGAGGAACAUGUGGUUUAAUUCGAUGAUACGCGAGGAACCUUACCCGGGCUUAAAUUGCAGAUGAAUUACGGUGAAAGCCGUAAGCCGCAAGGCAUCUGUGAAGGUGCUGCAUGGUUGUCGUCAGCUCGUGCCGUGAGGUGUCGGCUUAAGUGCCAUAACGAGCGCAACCCUUGUUGUCAGUUACUAACAGGUUCUGCUGAGGACUCUGACAAGACUGCCAUCGUAAGAUGUGAGGAAGGUGGGGAUGACGUCAAAUCAGCACGGCCCUUACGUCCGGGGCUACACACGUGUUACAAUGGGGGGUACAGAGGGCCGCUACCACGCGAGUGGAUGCCAAUCCCCAAAACCUCUCUCAGUUCGGACUGGAGUCUGCAACCCGACUCCACGAAGCUGGAUUCGCUAGUAAUCGCGCAUCAGCCACGGCGCGGUGAAUACGUUCCCGGGCCUUGUACACACCGCCCGUCAAGCCAUGGGAGCCGGGGGUACCUGAAGUGCGUAACCGCGAGGAGCGCCCUAGGGUAAAACUGGUGACUGGGG
rnacentral:rRNA from 1 species